GUCCAGACUCCUACGGGAGGCAGCAGUGAGGAAUAUUGGUCAAUGGGCGGGAGCCUGAACCAGCCAAGCCGCGUGAAGGAAGAAGGCGCCAAGCGUCGUAAACUUCUUUUGUCGGGGAACAAAGGGCGCCACGUGUGGCGUUGUGAGUGUACCCGAAGAAAAAGCAUCGGCUAACUCCGUGCCAGCAGCCGCGGUAAUACGGAGGAUGCGAGCGUUAUCCGGAUUUAUUGGGUUUAAAGGGUGCGCAGGCGGGUGUGUUAUGGCAGUGAGAAAACCGGGGGGCUCACCCCCGGCGAGCCGUUGAAACUGCCGGGCUAGAGUGGGCGAGAAGUGCGCGGAAUGCGUGGUGUAGCGGUGAAAUGCAUAGAUAUCACGCAGAACUCCGAUUGCGAAGGCAGCGCACCGGCGCCCUACUGACGCUCAGGCACGAAAGCGUGGGUAUCGAACAGGAUUAGAUACCCUAGUA
rnacentral:rRNA from 1 species